GAUGAACGCUGGCGGCGUGCCUAAUACAUGCAAGUCGAGCGAACAGACGAGGAGCUUGCUCCUUCGACGUUAGCGGCGGACGGGUGAGUAACACGUAGGUAACCUACCUAUAAGACUGGGAUAACUUCGGGAAACCGGAGCUAAUACCGGAUAAUAUUUCGAACCGCAUGGUUCAAUAGUGAAAGAUGGCUUUGCUAUCACUUAUAGAUGGACCUGCGCCGCAUUAGCUAGUUGGUAAGGUAACGGCUUACCAAGGCAACGAUACGUAGCCGACCUGAGAGGGUGAUCGGCCACACUGGAACUGAGACACGGUCCAGACUCCUACGGGAGGCAGCAGUAGGGAAUCUUCCGCAAUGGGCGAAAGCCUGACGGAGCAACGCCGCGUGAGUGAUGAAGGUCUUCGGAUCGUAAAACUCUGUUAUUAGGGAAGAACAAAUGUGUAAGUAACUAUGCACGUCUUGACGGUACCUAAUCAGAAAGCCACGGCUAACUACGUG
rnacentral:rRNA from 1 species